UAGAGUUUGAUCCUGGCUCAGGACGAACGCUGGCGGCGUGCCUAAUACAUGCAAGUCGAGCGAACCAAUAAGAAGCUUGCUUUUUGUUGGUUAGCGGCGGACGGGUGAGUAACACGUGGGUAACCUGCCUGUAAGACCGGGAUAACUCCGGGAAACCGGUGCUAAUACCGGAUAGAUUAUCUUUCCGCCUGGAGAGAUAAGGAAAGAUGGCUUUUGCCAUCACUUACAGAUGGGCCCGCGGCGCAUUAGCUAGUUGGUGAGGUAACGGCUCACCAAGGCGACGAUGCGUAGCCGACCUGAGAGGGUGAUCGGCCACACUGGGACUGAGACACGGCCCAGACUCCUACGGGAGGCAGCAAAA
rnacentral:rRNA from 1 species